rnacentral:rRNA from 1 species
UAGUUUUGUUCUUUAACCCAAAGAAUUUGGCGGUGUUUUAGUCCUUUCAGAGGAAUUUGUCUCGUUAUCGAUAAUCCUCGUUUUAUCUUACUUUUAUUUGUAUUUCAGUUUGUAUACCGCCGUUAUAAGUUUAUUUUUUAAGGAUUAUUUACUUUAGAUUAUAUUUUAUUUUAUUUCAGGUCAAGGUGCAGCUAAUAUUUAAGUGUUGAUGAAUUACAAUAUAUUUUGUGUAAAUACGGAUAUUUUCUUUAAAAUUUUAUUUAAGGUGGAUUUGUUAGUAAUUUUAUUUACAUUGAUAUUUUGAUUUUGGCUCUAAAAUGAGUACACAUCGCCCGAUCGCUCUA